rnacentral:rRNA from 1 species
UACAGAGGUAGCUAGCGUUGUUCGGAAUGACUGGGUGUAAAGCGCAUGUAGGCGGUUUUGUAAGUUGAAUGUGAAAUCUUCCGGCUUAACCGGAAAACUGCAUUCAAAACUGCAUUACUUGAGUACGGAAGAGGAAAGCGGAAUUUCUGGUGUAGCGGUGAAAUGCGUAGAUAUCAGAAGGAACACCGGUGGCGAAGGCGGCUUUCUGGUCCGUAACUGACGCUGAGAUGCGAAAGCUAGGGGAG